rnacentral:misc_RNA from 1 species
UUUGACUACGGAUCAA